rnacentral:sRNA from 1 species
UGUGUGUGUGUGUGUGUGUGUGCACGCACGCAUGCACACACAUGCAUGCAUGUUCACCCAGAUACUUUCGGAUGUCAGAAGAUGGUAUCAAAUUUCCAGGAACUGUUGCUACUGGUGGUUGUGAACACCUGAACUCAGUCCUCUGAAAGAACAACGAGUGACUUCUUUUGCCGAAGGACCACCGCUCCCCUCACCUCCUGUUUCUGUUUCUUAGGUUUUUAUGAACAUGCCCAUAGCCUGACUGCCUCCUAUGCUAUGCUUCCCAGCUGGGUCGGAGAAUGUCUUCAAAGAAAAUCAGUGUCUUGAUUUUAGGCCACAACUGAUUACUGAGCUUUGAGUAGUGGGCCUGGUCACUGACCUUUCUCUUCUCCCCAGUACAGAAUAACAAUAGACACAAGAAGGCUGGGCUUGUCGGUUCACACCUGGAACCGCAGAGGAGCAGACUGCAGCUUGUGUCUAGUUGGCCCUAACAAGACAGCUGUGAUGUCAGGCUGCUAAGAGUGGAAGAGUCCUGGCAAAGACAAAAUGGAAUAGUCCACGAGAAGCAUUCUCUCAGCACAGCGGCAAUCAGGCUUCAUAAGAGAAAAAGCAGCAAGGGUUUCUAGGUACAGGCCAUGAGACGAGGGUGUGAGAUUCCUGGCUUCUGACGUUUCCUGUGCUCCUUCCUUGAUCAUUGCUUCAGGCACGGGUGCUUCAUCAGAGUCCUUCCAUCUCUUUCCAGCUGUGAUGGGCAAGGAGGCCUCGCACAGCUGCUCUUGCUGGGCGAGAGUCCACAAUUAAAGGCAUCACUGCUCCCA